UAUACAUGCAGUCGAACGCACAGCGAAAGGUGCUUGCACCUUUCAAGUGAGUGGCGAACGGGUGAGUAACACGUGGACAACCUGCCUCAAGGCUGGGGAUAACAUUUGGAAACAGAUGCUAAUACCGAAUAAAACUUAGUGUCGCAUGACACAAAGUUAAAAGGCGCUUCGGCGUCACCUAGAGAUGGAUCCGCGGUGCAUUAGUUAGUUGGUGGGGUAAAGGCCUACCAAGACAAUGAUGCAUAGCCGAGUUGAGAGACUGAUCGGCCACAUUGGGACUGAGACACGGCCCAAACUCCUACGGGAGGCUGCAGUAGGGAAUCUUCCACAAUGGGCGAAAGCCUGAUGGAGCAACGCCGCGUGUGUGAUGAAGGCUUUCGGGUCGUAAAGCACUGUUGUAUGGGAAGAACAGCUAGAAUAGGAAAUGAUUUUAGUUUGACGGUACCAUACCAGAAAGGGACGGCUAAAUACGUGCCAGCAGCCGCGGUAAUACGUAUGUCCCGAGCGUUAUCCGGAUUUAUUGGGCGUAAAGCGAGCGCAGACGGUUUAUUAAGUCUGAUGUGAAAGCCCGGAGCUCAACUCCGGAAUGGCAUUGGAAACUGGUUAACUUGAGUGCAGUAGAGGUAAGUGGAACUCCAUGUGUAGCGGUGGAAUGCGUAGAUAUAUGGAAGAACACCAGUGGCGAAGGCGGCUUACUGGACUGCAACUGACGUUGAGGCUCGAAAGUGUGGGUAGCAAACAGGAUUAGAUACCCUGGUAGUCCACACCGUAAACGAUGAACACUAGUGUUAGGAGGUUUCCGCCUCUUAGUGCCGAAGCUAACGCAUUAAGUGUUCCGCCUGGGGAGUACGACCGCAAGGUUGAAACUCAAAGGAAUUGACGGGGACCCGCACAAGCGGUGGAGCAUGUGGUUUAAUUCGAA
rnacentral:rRNA from 1 species